rnacentral:rRNA from 1 species
AGUGAACGCUGGCGGUAGGCCUAACACAUGCAAGUCGAACGGCAGCACAGUAAGAGCUUGCUCUUACGGGUGGCGAGUGGCGGACGGGUGAGGAAUACAUCGGAAUCUACUUUUUCGUGGGGGAUAACGUAGGGAAACUUACGCUAAUACCGCAUACGACCUACGGGUGAAAGCAGGGGAUCUUCGGACCUUGCGCGAUUGAAUGAGCCGAUGUCGGAUUAGCUAGUUGGCGGGGUAAAGGCCCACCAAGGCGACGAUCCGUAGCUGGUCUGAGAGGAUGAUCAGCCACAAUGGAACUGAGACAAGGUCCAGACUCCUACGGGAGGCAGCAGUGGGGAAUAUUGGACAAUGGGCGCAAGCCUGAUCCAGCCCUACCGCGUGGGUGAAGAAGGCCUUCGGGUUGUAAAGCCCUUUUGUUGGGAAAGAAAAGCAGCAGGUUAAUACCCCGCUGUUCUGACGGUACCCAAAGAAUAAGCACCGGCUAACUUCGUG